UGCCGGGUCGUCUAAUGGUAGGACACAUGGCUCUGGACCAUGUAAUCUUGGUUCGAAUCCAAGCCCGGCAG
rnacentral:tRNA from 1 species